CCUACGGGAGGCUGCAGUAGGGAAUUUUCGUCAAUGGGCGCAAGCCUGAACGAGCAAUGCCGCGUGAACGAGGAAGGUCUUCGGAUCGUAAAGUUCUGUUGAAGGGGAAAAAGAGCGGAGAGAGGAAAUGAACUCCGAUUGAUAUUACCCUUCGAGGAAGCCACGGCUAACUACGUGCCAGCAGCCGCGGUAAUACGUAGGUGGCGAGCGUUAUCCGGAAUGAUUGGGCGUAAAGGGUGCGUAGGCGGCCUGUUAAGUCUGGAGUGAAAGGUAGCGGCUCAACCGGUACAGGCUCUGGAAACUGGCGGGCUAGAGAGAAGGAGAGGGCAGUGGAAAUCCAUGGGUAGCGGGAAAAUGCGU
rnacentral:rRNA from 1 species